AAGGGACUGGUCCUGAAGACCCAAAGCUGCAGGAUCUCCACGACACAGGGCAACAACAGGAUAUCCAAGGGGAGUCCCCGUGAGGGCCCAGCAGCCAUAGUGUAUCAGAAGCCAGAGGCCUGCAACCGGACCAAUGACUCUGUGAUGAACACUUGCAGAUGAUCCUGGCUUGUGUCCAGUUGACAAAACCCUGCCCAGCACAGCGGUCUUUAUACUGGUGAGGAGUCUGGGAUGAAAUCAUCAAAGCUCCAGGGAAGGCUGCAAAAAUAUUUAAUGCUGGACAACUGUGGAUUUUUUGCUGGGAACCGUGGAGUUGGCUUGGCCUAGCUGCCCUGAGAGGCAUGUGCUUUCCAGUUCCCGAGAGACCGACGCACUCUCUCAGGCAGUGAAGCACUCAGGCUGCUUUGUGUUUCUCCAUUUGUUCCCUUAAUAGUCAAGGAAGCAGGAAAAGUCGACAGGACCAGUGGUCUUAGGUGCUAAUCUGGCAUACCCUGUGUGCUCUCGCAAACAUUGUAUCCUGGCAACUACAGCUGUAUGGAUCCUGGAAACUGCCAUUAUAUUCUGUUUUUGAUGAAAGUAUAAAAAAAAAAUCUGAUUGUUCUCAAUAAAAUUGUCACAGCCUCAGUUGUGCUGUGGCCUCUCCAA